GAGAAUGCCGGUGUGAGUAGCGAAAGACGGGUGAGAAUCCCGUCCACCGAUUGACUAAGGUUUCCAGAGGAAGGCUCGUCCGCUCUGGGUUAGUCGGGUCCUAAGCUGAGGCCGACAGGCGUAGGCGAUGGAUAACAGGUUGAUAUUCCUGUACCACCUAUAAUCGUUUUAAUCGAUGGGGGGACGCAGUAGGAUAGGCGAAGCGUGCGAUUGGAUUGCACGUCUAAGCAGUAAGGCUGAGUAUUAGGCAAAUCCGGUACUCGUUAAGGCUGAGCUGUGAUGGGGAGAAGACAUUGUGUCUUCGAGUCGUUGAUUUCACACUGCCGAGAAAAGCCUCUAGAUAGAAAAUAGGUGCCCGUACCGCAAACCGACACAGGUAGUCAAGAUGAGAAUUCUAAGGUGAGCGAGCGAACUCUCGUUAAGGAACUCGGCAAAAUGACCCCGUAACUUCGGGAGAAGGGGUGCUCUUUAGGGUUAACGCCCAGAAGAGCCGCAGUGAAUAGGCCCAAGCGACUGUUUAUCAAAAACACAGGUCUCUGCUAAACCGUAAGGUGAUGUAUAGGGGCUGACGCCUGCCCGGUGCUGGAAGGUUAAGAGGAGUGGUUAGC
rnacentral:rRNA from 1 species